rnacentral:rRNA from 1 species
GAUGAACGCUGGCGGCGUGCCUAACACAUGCAAGUCGAGCGGACAGACGAGGCUUUUGCUUGGAUUCCGCGAGGGGCGGGCGAGUGAGUCACACGAGUAUGCCUUCCCUAUCAGUAUGAGAUCACGACGGGAACGCGGAUAUAACACACGAUGAGAUCUUGAAACACGGGGAUCUUUGGACAAAGCCGGCUUUGCUGACACUAGUAGAGGGUACCGAGCCGGAUUAGCUAGUUGGUAGGGUAACGGCUUACCAAGGCUACGAUGCGUAGCCGACCUGAGAGGAUGAUCGGCCACACUGGAACUGAGACACGGUCCAGACUCCUACGGGAGGCAGCAGUAGGGAAUCUUGGGCAAUGGGCGAAAGCUUGACACAGCAAUGCCGCGUGUGUGAUGAAGGUCUUCGGAUCGUAAAGCACUGUUAGUAGGGAAGAACAGAUGUAGAUUAAUACGUGGCCGUCUUGACGGUACCUAAUCAAGAAGCACCGGCUAACUACGUG